UACGGAGGAUCCAAGCGUUAUCCGGAAUUACUGGGCGUAAAGAGUUGCGUAGGUGGCAGAGUAAGCGGAACAUGAAAUCUUGUGGCUCAACCAUGAGGCUAUGUUCUGAACUGCUCAGCUUGAAGAUGAGAGAGGUACCUGGAAUUCCUAGUGUAGGAGUGAAAUCCGUAGAUAUUAGGAGGAACACCGAUGGCGUAGGCAGGGUACUGGCUCAUUCUUGACACUAAGGCACGAAAGCGUGGGGAGCAAACGGG
rnacentral:rRNA from 1 species